ACAAAAGCUGAGAAUAUUAUAUAAUUUUUUUAUUUUUACUUUAAAAAUUUUAGUGUAGAUGGGAUAGGAAAUAACUGUGAUGGACAAGAGUGGGACUUUUGGGAAAAAACAUUAAGGAGGGUCUUUUAAAUAACCUAGUAAAAAUUGCAUCCCUCUGCUUAAUUUUUGAGGAAACACCCCCAAAACGGGUUUUUCCCCUCAAAAUUAUUGAAAAAUAUUAUACUUACGGCAAAACUUCUCCUACUAAAGUCGUUCUUCUGUACGCUGAUGUUUAUGAAGAUUAAGAUGAUAACCACAACCAUGUUGAUGGUAACAUUAUUGUCAAUGUUGGAAAACAGUGAUGGCUGAUGACAACUAUGAAAAUGUUUCAAUCUAGUACUGAAAAAAUAUUGAAUAUUCUGCAUGUCUAGUGUUGCAUUAGUCAUUUAAAUAAGUAUAGUUUAAUAUGACAAAUUAACGGAAACUAUUAAAAUGGAUAAAGCAAUAACACAUUAUUGGAGAAGGACCUCACUUGCAAAAUAAAUACACCGUGUACACAAUAUAAUACUUAUCUAUUGUGCCCGUCUGACGUCAAAAGAGCCGCCAUUAGAAAAAGUAAUCUACACUGAAGAUAAGUAUUAUAAUUUAUAACAUGGCAACGCCUCACCUACUAAGAUAACUUUUUAGCGAAGAACAAAACGACGAAUCACAAUAAAGUCAAAGGCUAACAUGAGUAAUUAUAGAUAAGAAAUACAAACAUUAUGUACUGUACAUGUACCCUACCUUCUUCGGUAGAACGACAGAGAUUUAUUUCUAAUAGCCCAAGUCUG